ACUGCUGCCUGGUGAAUGCAGUAA
rnacentral:snRNA from 1 species